UGGGACUUGUUCUUGCUGCUCUUGCACGAC
rnacentral:piRNA from 1 species